UGAUUGAUUGACUAACCUUUGCAAUGG
rnacentral:sRNA from 1 species